UGAGGAAUAUUGGGCAAUGCCCGCAAGGGUGACCCAGCAACGCCGCGUGGAGGAUGAAUGUCGUAAGAUUGUAAACUCCUGUUAGAGGGGAAGAAUAGUACCGGUUGGACCGGUAUAUGACUGUACCCUCAGAGAAAGCCCCGGCUAACUACGUGCCAGCAGCCGCGGUAACACGUAGGGGGCAAGCGUUGUCCGGAUUUACUGGGUGUAAAGGGCGCGCAGGCGAGAUAAAAAGUCAGUGGUGAAAUCCUACAGCUUAACUGUAGAACUGCCUUUGAUACUUUUAUUCUUGAGUUCGGGAGAGAGAGACGGAAUUCCAGGUGUAGUGGUGAAAUACGUAGAUAUCUGGAAGAACACCAGUUGCGAAGGCGGUCUCUUGGUCCGACACUGACGCUGAGGCGCGAAAGCGUGGGGAGCAAACA
rnacentral:rRNA from 1 species